rnacentral:rRNA from 1 species
UACGAGUGCCUCAAGCGUUAUCCGGAAUCAUUGGGCGUAAAGGAUGUGUAGGUGGUUGUGUUAGUCUUGUCUUAAAUUCUUCGGCUUAACCGGGGGCAUGGAUGGGAAACGGCACAACUUGAGGAUGCGAGGGGUCUGCGGAACUCAUAGUGUAGCGGUGAAAUGCGUUGAUAUUAUGGGGAACACCAAAAGCGAAGGCAGCAGACUGGAGCACUCCUGACACUGAAACAUGAAAGCGUGGGUAGCGAAUGGG